GGCAGCGGGACUGUGGGGGCUGGAGUAGCCUGGGUCCUGGGUUCAAGUCCCUGAAGUUCAGAGGAAGAUAUGGCCUGGCUGAUUGUCUUCAGCAGCUCAGAACAAGAUAAUUUACUGAUUCAACAAGCUGAAGAGAUAAAGUAACUGAGGCUCCAGGGGAAGGUGACUUGCCCAAGCUCACCCACUGCCUGGAAUCUGGAUUUAAGGAAGACCCAAAUUUCGAGGCUGGCCCUGCUACUUAUUGGGGAUUGAACCCAGGGCCUUGUGCAUGCAAGGCAAGCACUCUUCCAACUGAGCUAUAUUCCCACCCCAUGUUAAAAUUCUUGCUGGUUGCAGUGGUACAUGACUGUAAUCCUAGCGGCUUGGGAGGCUGAGACAAGAGGAUCAUGAGUUCAAAGCCAGCUUCAGCAACUUAGUGAGGCCCUAAGCAAUUCAGUUUGACUCUGCCUCUAAAUAAAAUAUUUUUUAAAAAGGGCUGGGGAUGUGGCUCAGUGGUUGAGAGGCCCUAGCUUCCAUCCCAGGAACCAAAAAGACAAAGCAACCUCUUAACAUAGUGUCUCUUACCAGGUCUUGGCUGAUGUAAUUAUCUGCCCAAAGACAAGGUCCACUCCCCAAGAACAGUGGGGCCAGGGGAGGUGUGUAGCCUUCCCAGGUCAGCCCAGGGUAUCUUCCUGGAAGAAGCGGCAUCUCUGCCCCAUUUUAACCUAAGACAGGAGCGCCCUGGUGCGUGUGGCUGUGGAGGGGGCUGGGGUGUGCUUGGAAUGCGGUGGGACACCUAGAGCAGGAGACUGGCCUCCGCAGGGGUGGGUGUGAGGUCAGGUCAGGUCUAAACACGGGCAGGCCUCCAGACCUCGUUCCCAGAGGAUGUCUCAACAGCUUGCCUGGGGACCUUGGAUGAUAAACAGGUUGUCACCCUCGAGCCCCAAGUGAACCUGAUAAGUCCUGGCCAGGCCGAAAAGAGGAGAGGCUGGGCUAUAAAUACUCGGUGACUCAGGGCCGUGCUCUGCUGGUUCUGUUGCCCUGCGGAGGCCUCCACCCCGGGGAAGGUCUAGGCUACCCGCUGGGGCCCGGCUUGGGGUCCGUCUGAGAAGUGCUCACCCCUCUGCGCUUCCAGUCACCCAGGAAAGGAGGCCCCCUGGCUCUCCAGACCUGAGGCCAGGCGGCCUGGAGAUUGGGCACAGGGUCUGGGUGCCAGAAGAAGGUGGGCUCUUUCAGUUUCAUCCCUUAACCAGCCAAGUGACUUUUAAGUCAGCCAAUUCACUCUUCUGGGCCUCAGUUUCCUGAAUGGUAAAAUGAAGAUAUCCUCCGAACUUCGAUCACAGGGCUGUCACAAGGAGGAUAGACAAGAAUGCACAGGAGGCCCUUGGCCCAGGGACUCAUGUGCAAUAGACCCUGAGUUAAUGAUGGGAAUUAGGCUGUAAAUUAAACCGCCUCUUUAAAAGGUCUUUGGAGUGGGACAGGUGGGGGCUUUGGUUCCUUCAGAGAGCUAGUUAGGGAGCCAGUGGUUACCCCAGAACCUUACCCACCAGGGCACCAUGCUGCCCUGACUGCCCCCCCCCCCAGGAAAGUCGUCAAGGAAAGGACAAAAGUGAGAGGAUGAGGAAGGAGGAAUUGGGGUACUUGGCAACAAUCAGGUGUGACUGUAGAGGACUAGCAGAGAUGGGCAAAGAGCCCUUUCUCAACUGUCUGAAGUGACUUCUGAACCCAUGACCCUUCAAAACCCUUUUCUACCUGGCUUUGGAAGCCCUCUCUUUGCAUCCUACCUCAGGGCCUUUGCACAUAUUGUGUGCUCUUGCCUUCUCAGCCAAGAUUUACCUCUUCAAAGAAGCCUCUCUUAACCACUUUGUUUGGGUCCUGCCCAUCCCCUCACUCCUGGACUCAUGUCAGGGACUAGAAGGAAAUUCUCCUUCAAAGAUUAGCCUGACAGCCCCCUGGGAGACAUCCUGCCUGGGAGGCAUCCUGCAGCUACUUAUCUCACCUGAGACAUCCUGCGGCCACCUAUCUUCCUGAAACCUAUCUUCCUGAAACAUCCUGCGGUUAUCUCACCUUGUGCAGACAUCCAGCAACUACCGAUAAGAGAGCUUCCCCAUCCCCAGCAUAUAAAUACCCCUGUGUGAAUAACAAAAGUUUGCAGCUUGAUCAGAACUCUUGUCUUGCUGUCAUCCUUCUGUGUCUCUUGUCCCUUCAUUCCUCCCCAUCUAGGUUCGCUGCCCACGUUGAUGUGUCCUGCCGGACGGGACAGACUCAAGCAUCUGUUUGGUUUUUUUCCUGAUAUUUAUUUCAAUCCAUUAUUGUUUUACUCAAUUUCUUUAUUCAUCAACUGUCUUCCCCACACAUGUGAGAAAGUAUCCAUUCCAUGAGAGCAGGGAUCAGAUGGGCUGAUCCACUGUUGUAUCCACAGUGGAAGGCCACCUGUAUUCAGUAGGAGCUUAGCAUUUAUUUGUGAGAUAGGUUUCCCAUGGAGUCCCCUCACAUCCAUCUCCUUCAUUCCUCCUAGCUUUCCAAACCCUGACCAAGGCUGACUUCCUAGUGGGCCUCCUUUGGGAAGCCCGCUGCCCUUGUGAUGUGAACAACCUAUACAACUAUACAGGGCAGCCCUGCUUCAACCACCACUGCUUACAUGUGCCUGCCCUUAGGCAAGUCACCUCAGCUCCCUGGGCCCCAGUUCUCCCAGUUAAUUCCACUCUUGGGACACUAUCCAAAGGACAUAAUCUGAAAGCAGAGAAAAGCCCAA